rnacentral:rRNA from 1 species
CAGCAGCCGCGGUAAUACGUAGGGGGCGAGCGUUGUCCGGAAUAAUUGGGCGUAAAGGGCGCGUAGGCGGCCAGACAAGUCAGUAGUGGAAGUCCCAUUUUUAAGGUGGGGAGGGCUAUUGAAACUGUAGGGCUUGAGUGCAGGAGAGGUUAUCGGAAUUCCCGGUGUAGCGGUGAAAUGCGUAGAGAUCGGGAGGAACACCAGUGGCGAAGGCGGGUAACUGGACUGCAACUGACGCUGAGGCGCGAAAGUGUGGGGAGCAAACAGGAUUAGAUACCCUGGUAGUCCACACUGUAAACGAUGAAUGCUAGGUGUAGGGGGUAUCGACCCCUUCUGUGCCGGAGUAAACACAAUAAGCAUUCCGCCUGGGGAGUACGGUCGCAAGAUUAAAACUCAAAGGAAUUGACGGGGGCCCGCACAAGCAGCGGAGCAUGUGGUUUAAUUCGAAGCAACGCGAAGAACCUUACCAGGUCUUGACAUCCAGGUAAAGCUUAAGAGAUUAGGUGUGCCUUCGGGCAAUCUGAGACAGGUGGUGCAUGGCC